rnacentral:rRNA from 1 species
CCCCUAGAUGUUCUGGGCCGCACGCGCGCUACACUGAACAGUUCAACAAGUCUUAACCUUGGCCGAUAGGUCUGGGUAAUCUUUGAACGCUGUUCGUGAUUGGGAUAGACCUUUGCAAUUAUGGGUCUUCAACGAGGAAUUCCUAGUAAACGCAAGUCAUCAGCUUGCAUUGAUUACGUCCCUGCCCUUUGUACACACCGCCCGUCGCACCUACCGAUUGAAUGGUCCGGUGAAGCCUCCGGAUUGGCGCGCACCUCGGUGCCGCCGAGAAGUUGGCUAAACCUUACCAUUUAGAGGAAGGUGAAGUCGUAGCA